CUACGGGAGGCUGCAGUGGGGAAUAUUGCACAAUGGAGGGAACUCUGAUGCAGCAACGCCGCGUGGAGGAUGACGCAUUUCGGUGUGUAAACUCCUUUUAUAUAGGAAGAUAAUGACGGUACUAUAUGAAUAAGCACCGGCUAACUCCGUGUCCAGCAGCCGCGGUAAUACGGAGGGUGCAAGCGUUACUCGGAAUCACUGGGCGUAAAGCGCAUGCAGGCGGUUAAAUAAGUCGGAAGUGAAAUCCUAUGGCUCAACCAUAGAACUGCUUACAAAACUGUUUAACUAGAGUCUGGGAGGGGAAGAUGGAAUUAGUAGUGUAGGGGGAAAAUCCGUAGAGAUUACUAGGAAUACCAAAAGCGAAGGCGAUCUUCUGGAACAGUACUGACGCUGAGAUGCGAAAGCGUGGGGAGCAAACAGGAUUAGAUACCCUCGUAGUC
rnacentral:rRNA from 1 species